rnacentral:rRNA from 1 species
ACGCUCGACACCUACGGGAGGCAGCAGUGGGGAAUAUUGCACAAUGGGGGAAACCCUGAUGCAGCGACGCCGCGUGGAGGAAGAAGGUCUUCGGAUUGUAAACUCCUGUUGUUGGGGAAAAAGAGGAUGGUACCCAACAAGGAAGUGACGGCUAACUACGUGCAGCAGCCGCGGUAAUCUGAGCGGGCUGGCAAGGC